rnacentral:lncRNA from 1 species
CACAGAAAUACAUUACUGUCUCUAUUUUGAAAAGAUGUUAUUUCCUUCUGUGCUUUGCUGAAAGUAGAGGAAGCUUUCCUGUUUGUCACCCCUUAAGGUUGUCAUGGCCUAACACAGAAGAGACUCAAAAAAAAAAUUGAUAAUAAUGGACAGAACAAAGGAAAUGCCCCAAAGAUGUUAACAUUAUCACUAGAUGUACCGCUAGCUUCAAUUCAAUCCAGGUAUUUA